rnacentral:rRNA from 1 species
GACAGAGGAUGCAAGCGUUAUCCGGAAUGAUUGGGUGUAAAGCGUCUGUAGGUGGCUUUUUAAGUCUGCCGUCAAAUCCCAGGGCUUAACCCUGGACAGGCGGUGGAAACUACCAAGCUGGAGUACGGUAGGGGCAGGGGGAAUUUCCGGUGGAGCGGUGAAAUGCGUAGAGAUCGGAAAGAACACCAACGGCGAAAGCACUCUGCUGGGCCGACACUGACACUGAGAGACGAAAGCUAGGGGAGCGAAUGGG